CACGUAGGGCGCAAGCGUUGUCCGGAAUUAUUGGGCGUAAAGAGCUCGUAGGCGGUGUGUCACGUCGUUCGUGAAAACCUGCAGCUUAACUGUGGGCGUGCGGUCGAUACGGGCAUCACUGGAGUUCGGCAGGGGAGACUGGAAUUCCUGGUGUAGCGGUGAAAUGCGCAGAUAUCAGGAGGAACACCAAUGGCGAAGGCAGCUCGCUGGGACGGUACUGACGCUGAGACGCGAAAGCGUGGGGAGCAAACAGG
rnacentral:rRNA from 1 species